rnacentral:misc_RNA from 1 species
ACGUCUACUAGCUUGGUUAGAGCGCCCCCUGAGAGGGUGAGGUCGGCAGUUCAAAUCUGCCCCUACCCACCAGUUACCUGGUGAAGUUGGUCAGAGCGCGUACCACACCCGGAUACGGUCGUUACGUCAGCUGGGACAGCGCCUGCCUUGUGCGCAGGAGGUCAGCGAUUCGAUCCCGCUUGGCUCCACCACUUACUGCUUCUGUUUGAAAGCUUAAAAAUGAGCAUUCCAUCCUGAUUGGAGGGUGCGUGA